GGCCUACGGGGCGCAGCAGUAGGGAAUCUUCCACAAUGGACGAAAGUCUGAUGGAGCAACGCCGCGUGAGUGAAGAAGGGUUUCGGCUCGUAAAGCUCUGUUGGUAGUGAAGAAAGAUAGAGGUAGUAACUGGCCUUUAUUUGACGGUAAUUACUUAGAAAGUCACGGCUAACUACGUGCCAGCAGCCGCGGUAAUACGUAGGUGGCAAGCGUUGUCCGGAUUUAUUGGGUGUAAAGCGAGUGCAGGCGGUUCUCUAAGUCUGAUUUAGAAGCCUUCG
rnacentral:rRNA from 1 species